GCUCCUCAGAUGUUAUCGGCGGACGGGUGAGUAACACGUGGAUAACCUACCUAUAAGACUGGGAUAACUUCGGGAAACCGGAGCUAAUACCGGAUAAUAUUUUGAACCGCAUGGUUCAAAAGUGAAAGACGGUCUUGCUGUCACUUAUAGAUGGAUCCGCGCUGCAUUAGCUAGUUGGUAAGGUAACGGCUUACCAAGGCAACGAUGCAUAGCCGACCUGAGAGGGUGAUCGGCCACACUGGAACUGAGACACGGUCCAGACUCCUACGGGAGGCAGCAGUAGGGAAUCUUCCGCAAUGGGCGAAAGCCUGACGGAGCAACGCCGCGUGAGUGAUGAAGGUCUUCGGAUCGUAAAACUCUGUUAUUAGGGAAGAACAUAUGUGUAAGUAACUGUGCACAUCUUGACGGUACCUAAUCAGAAAGCCACGGCUAACUACGUGCCAGCAGCCGCGGUAAUACGUAGGUGGCAAGCGUUAUCCGGAAUUAUUGGGCGUAAAGCGCGCGUAGGCGGUUUUUUAAGUCUGAUGUGAAAGCCCACGGCUCAACCGUGGAGGGUCAUUGGAAACUGGAAAACUUGAGUGCAGAAGAGGAAAGUGGAAUUCCAUGUGUAGCGGUGAAAUGCGCAGAGAUAUGGAGGAACACCAGUGGCGAAGGCGACUUUCUGGUCUGUAACUGACGCUGAUGUGCGAAAGCGUG
rnacentral:rRNA from 1 species